AUGUAAGACGUACAUCAUUAUUUUUAUCCAGUAUUAAAGAAAAUACAUCAAUGAAAUCAAAAAAUCCACAUCGUCGACAUAUGCACAAACAAAAUCAUAUUGCUUUUCUUAUCAAAUAAAACCUUAAGACCGCAAUGUAGGACAAAGAAUUGCACAUAUUUGCAUAUCAGUAAUAGGUAUCAAGAACCAUUUCACGGAAGCUAUUGCGGCUUCUUCAAAAUAAAUGUUAUCUACAAGCAUAAUGUACGUGACAAUAAUUUUAUACACAACCAUCAAAAAUAACACAACGUUUACUCGAAACAAAGGAAGAACGAAAACUGCAAUAUUGAGUACGAUUGUUAUAAAAACAUAGUACCUACAACAUAUGCGGGCAGUGAGUUGCCUCGUACCAUUGUGGAUUUGAUAACUUAAAAGGAAGUACUAUAGUUGAGUAUAUUAUUAUUAUAAAUCGAUUGAGUUAAAUAAUUCACUACUGUUUUUAUAAGGAUACCAUAUGGCCCAGCUUAAGGUAACUUUAGGUAACUUCUGUUCUUGACGAAAUAUAAUUUUAGAUCGAUCAAAGCAUAAAUACAAUUAAAUUAUACGUCUAUGUAUUGACCAUUGGCUAUUGUUAAUGAACCAGCAGUAAUGUUCAACGUUAAACAAUAAAUUCAUUUGAUUGAAACAUACGUUUAAUUUGAAGUCAGUUUAUAACAUAAUAUUUAUUGGUUUAACAACAUUCAUCAAUUGGCACUUUUUAAUAAUUGUCUAUUCGUAGGAACAUUUUUAUUAAACUACAUCUCAGUUGGUUUUGAUCGUAUAAAUAGUUAAACGUUAAUAAGAUUGAACACAUUUUUAAGUAUUCAAGUAUGCAAAAAUAUUCGAUUGAAAAUCAUCUAAUUCAAAGGUUCAUACAUGCAUACAACAGGUAGAUUUCUGCUAUAAGCAUUCGUUGAAUUUGUCUCCAGUUUAUUGUGUUAAUAUUAAAAAUAUGUCCUGAAUUAAGGAAUGGAAAAUCUUAGGAUUAGUCAUUGAAAAUAUUGUGUUUGCAUUAAAUAUUUCAAAUGAAACAAAACGGAAAACCAUACAAAGAUAGAAUAAUAAUUUUAAUUCACGUGAAGUCCAGUAAUACAGUUAUAACUUAUAAUAAAUAAAUAUCCAUAUAUGCUAUAUACAAUCAAAGGCCUAAAACGGAUGACCAUUGAGCAAAUCUACUGUUUUAAUUGGUUUUCAUAAAAUUGUCGUUAGUAGGUUCAGAAAUAUCUGUAGUCAUGGAAUACUUUUUAUAACUUACUUUUUACUCUUCAACACAUAAUUAAUGCUGAAUUUAAAAAACAAAAGACUGUACAUUUUUGUUUAUAUAUCGUUGGCAUUGGUUACAGAAAACUAAAUAAUCAUUACUAUUGAAUAUAGUUUUAGAUCUGUAUUUUAUAUUUAGUCAAAACAACCCAAAAACUUUAUUCAGAAUCUUUGCAAUUUACAUUGUAAGGAGUUUAAGAAGGUGUAAUCCCACGGGCAUUUAAUUUGUCAGUUACAAAGUCAUGUAGGAUUAGCUAGUAUCAAUAUAGGUAAUAGGUACGUCAUAUUAUACAGGUAAUAAAGGUUAAAUGUUCUUCGAAUUGAAUAUUUUCGUCAUUUUAAUCUGUUAUUUUUUCUGUAUUUGUCGAAGCUUUUGUUCGAUUUAUUUUAUAACUUUUAGUCGUUAUAAUAUCAUUGAAUUAUGCGUAUUUAUUUUUGUAAUAUAUCAUCAUGAAUGUUGAUCAUUAGGGCCCGGAACUUGACGCAUUUGCAUCUUUUUUUCUAAUAUUUACAUUCGAGGCUUGUCUACAGAAAUUUGAUUCUUGGAAUAUAGAAUUAAAUGGUACAAUUAUUGUUAUUUUACCUUCUGUGCAUUUUUAGGAAAUUCUAUGAUCUUAAUUUUUUAGUAGUUUUGAUGCAUUUUACUCAUUUUUAUACUUUUUUUUGUUGAAAGUUACGCUUUAAUAGAACACAUUCAUUUUCCAUAAGCUUGUCGAUUAUCAACGUUCAUUAUCUUUAUCGUUUGUUGUUGAACCAUACGAUUUUUUAAUAAAAUGUAGGCAGGUACUAUUUUAGGCUUGAUGUUGAUGCACACGGAGUGUUAUGUUAAAGAAGCUUUCUCUUCUGCAGUACAGUAUGAGCCCAGAUAAUUGUAUAGGUGUGAUUAGCGUUUUACGGCAUUAUGGCAUAUGAUUAUGAAAUACGGACGUGAUUAUUUUAUCCAUUAUAGACUACUGUGACCGACCGACUCUUUGAUUUUUAUAUUUAAUAUUAUUGACAAUAAUUUAUUUUUGUAUAAAAAUUUCUAAAUAUAAAGUGUCGGAUAACACUCGAUUGAAUUCGUUUGUAGAUAAAACUUUGAGAUUGAUCCCUUCAAAUUAUUUGUCCCAAUGGUAUUAAAAGCGAUCAUGUACUGCUUUUAUUGAGUGAUGCUGCACCAUAUACGGUCAAAGCAGAUUGGCGGAAGAAAUUAGAAAAAAAUCCCAAAAGUCAACCAACUUAUUUCGAACUGCAAUCAAAUAUUUUUGAAGGAUCUUUCAAGAGUACAGAUUGUAAUGAUGUACGGUACGCAUAAGCCAUCAUAUCUUUUUUAAAUUUAAAAUAUAUAAUAAGAUAAUUAUAACAAUCAUUAGCUUUAACGAUUAGAUAUUGUACACACACACACACACACACACACACACACACACACACACACACAUACACAACAAUAUAUUAUGUAAGAACUCCAGUCUGCUGGUCAAGAUCCAGACCCGUUAUUAUUGUCUUAUUUUACGGACGGUAAAAGGCGAGUGUCAAAGACUACACAGAUCGUUCGUGUAAUAAGACAUAAUAAUAAAAGUUUUAAACGUAUGUAAUAAAUUGAAGUAUGUGUAUUAAGUUGUGUUAAAGAAAAAAGGUUAAAUAAAAUUACAAUAGUUAAUUAAAGAAAAAGGCAUAAUUAUUUUAAUAUAUAAAUCAACGUUACACCUUGAACGCGAAAUGCGAUUUCAACAAGCAAUUCGGCACAUAAAUCAGAGAGGUAAUAUCACUAAGUUAUAAUUAUUUAAUAAGAAAUGGAUUUAGAAAUAUGUCAUCGUUUCCGAUUAACUUAGGGUUGCUUUUUCUAUCAUUACAAGAUUUUCAAAGAGCAAGCACUUAAUAUUCCAUUUCUUUUAAAACGUGUGCUAAAUAGGUGGGGAACUUGGUUAACAGCAACCUUUGUUAUUGUGAACAUUUUGAUAGACUUAAAAUUGCCAUCAUGCAAAUGGAUAAAAAUGAUGCUAUUUCCAUUGAAAAAGUACCUAAUUGAUUUGAUCGCCGAUCAAGAUUUUGAAUUAAAUUUAGUUUUCAUUAAAUUAAAAAAUAUAUGCCUUGCCGAUGCUGUACUAGUCAAAGAAGUAGAAAAAUAUCAAAUUCAAUUAUCAUGACAUAUAGUUAGUUAAUACAUCAUAAAUAUAAAACUGUAGAAAAAAAUAGUGUUAUAAAAUAAUGUAGAUUGUUUCAAAAAUAUUGAAAGAACAAGAUAUUACAAAAGAAGGCUUCCCAAAACAUUCGAAUGCAGAUUAAGUACGUCAUUUUGUUUCAAAACAUGCCCCAAUCACACAUGUGGAAGUCGAAAAAUGUUUUUCAACCUACGAAAGUUUGUCAU